UGUAUUUCAGGCUUACGACUUUGGACGAAAGGGUAAUCUGCUACGCUACGGAUCAAUUAAACCGUUUGAAUAUCACCUUGGAAAUAUUACAGCUCCGAUUUACGUCUUCUCUGGGGGAAGGGAUCGAUUAGUUACUCCAAUGGACGUGGAUUGGCUACUAUCCAAACUUACGAAUAUGAUAGGCUCUGAGCGUAUUAGUGAUUACAGCCAUUUGGACUUCAUAUGGGUAAAAAAAAAG